UACAGAGGUUGCGAGCGUUAGUCGGAAUUACUGGGCGUAAAGCGCACGUAGGUGGCGACGUAAGUCGGGUGUGAAAGCCCCGGGCUCAACCUGGGAAUUGCAUUCGAGACUGCAUUGCUGGAGUACGGAAGAGGAGGGCGGAAUUCCCGGUGUAGCGGUGAAAUGCGUAGAUAUCGGGAGGAACAUAAGUGGCGAAGGCGGCCCUCUGGUCCAGUACUGACACUCAAGUGCGAAAGCGUGGGGAGCAAACAGG
rnacentral:rRNA from 1 species